rnacentral:lncRNA from 1 species
UUGUUCUAAAUUCAUAUGUGUGAUCUUGGAAAUUUUGCAAAAACAUCAAAAAAGGCACAGACCCUCUAUAAAUUAUUUUCAUAUUUUUUUUACUAGUGUAAAUACUUGAUUGCAGGUAUUCUACACGAAAAACCAAGGUCAUCUUAGCUCCAAACAUCUAAGAAGGCAUGGCCCCUCUAGAAAACAUUGUCAUCAUUGUUACUAGUAUAAAGUUCUUUAUUGCAGCUAGGUACACUCCAUGAUCAUAAUUAACCAUUCAUGAAAUUUCAAAAAAGCAAAAGUGAGCUGCAUGGAUAAACAGCACUAGAAUUUACUACCAUUGCUAUUGAUUCUGGUUGGGCAAACCAUGCUACUGCCUCCUAGAGAUAUGAGCAGUACUAAUCAAAAUUAAGUAGGAUAACUUCAACUCUUUUCUUGACUGAGAAAAGGACAAAAUCUAAGUCCUAAUAUCUAAUUACAUGUCGAUAGCAUUCAAGAGGAGUUGCAACAGAACUGGAAUUGAAUAUACAUCAUAGUGUUCAAGGUAGAGUUCUAAAGAAGCAUGUCUCUUUAAAUCAUGAGGUAUAUAUAUAUAUAUAUAUAUAUAANNNNNNNNNNNNNNNNNNNNAAUUACAUGUCGAUAGCAUUCAAGAGGAGUUGCAACAGAACUGGAAUUGAAUAUACAUCAUAGUGUUCAAGGUAGAGUUCUAAAGAAGCAUGUCUCUUUAAAUCAUGAGGUAUAUAUAUAUAUAUAAAGUCUUCACCAUCCUGAUUUCUUAGCACAGUUGCUCUCCUAGAAUAUAUAGUGCAUAGCAUCAUGAGCAAUCAGCCUUCAGUUUUAGCAGAGUGACUGCUCAUGAUGUUAUGUCCUCGUGGAAAGCCUCAGGCGUGCCGAGAUGUUGCUGUACCUAUCAAGAACCCCCACCAAGAGAUGGAGCCCAGUAAUCAGCUCCGUUGUCACUCCCAACAUGCAAGGUGCAGGACACUGGAACGAGGCAAAGCCCUCUACUCCUCAAAUCCUUCUUUGGCUCAUCAUUGGCAUCCU